UCCCUUCCUUCCACCCUUCCUUCCUUCCUUCCUACCUACCCCAAGAACUUCAAGUGCUCAUCACAGUUGUGGAGUUCAUUCCCUCAUUCAUGUCCCUCCCCAUCCCUUCCCACUUGCUAUUAAAUUGUGAAUGACCCCGUGAUACCAAAUCUUCAAAUAUCUACUUGGAAGAACAAACUUAACAGUGAACUGAAUCUUCAAUGUGUAUUAUAGCUGUAAUAUAUUUAUUUUGUUUAAUGAAGACUUUCUAACCAGGAACUGACUAAAUAAAGCUGUCAGCUCCGCCCUGGGGAUUGAAGACAUACAAAAAGUAACAUUGGCAUCAAAGAGACAAUUCAAUCCCUCCUGGAUAUUUUUCCACAUUUCUUUAAAAAUGAGGUGUGCGCCUUUGGGCAGUUUUGUGGUGACAAGAGGCUAAGGAAAACGUUUGGCCUGCUGUUUGGGAAACUGCACAGAAAGAGAUUCCGCUCCCUUUGCCAGCCAAGCCUCAGAGCCAGGACAGCAGAGGUAGUAUCUGCCAGAAUCCUCCUUCUAGAGAGCAAAGAGAAUGGAAUCUCACCCGGGACAAGGACUUUCUGUGUCUCGAAAGGACGCGGGCUGUGCCAAGGUGCCAGAGACAUUGUGUUAUCUUUUUAUGUUGUUGUUGUUGUUGCUGUUCAACUAUGAUCUGUGAUUCCUUUUUUAUUUGAUUUGUUCGAAUGCUUUAAAAGAAAUCCUUUAAGUCUGUGGAUCUGCUGAUGUACAGUGCCUUUGCUGCUAUGGAUCAAAAUCAAAAGAACCGUGUAGAUCAACUUUAUUGUAUAAGUAGAAAAUGACUUAAUUUCAUACUAGAAAUGGAUUGAUGCUGCAAGUUGAAAUGGACUGUUCAUUGACGUUCCAGAUGUGGUAGCGAAAAACAAAAAUGGUGUCUUAAAGUGCUUAGUGUUUGAUGUCAUUAACAGUUUCGUAAUACUCUACAGUGUAGAAAGAUUUUGAUACUAAAUUGUGCAUUGUACAUAGUUCUACUGCAUUGUAUUGACCACCGGUACUUCUAUAAUGGUAGAUUAUUGUUUGUGCAUUCAGACUUUUAAGCAUUAAACAUAAGUAACUUCUAGGA